AGAGUUUGAUCAUGGCUCAGAAUGAACGUUGGCGGCGUGGAUUAGGCAUGCAAGUCGAGCGCGAAUCAGUCUUCGGACUGAGGACAGCGGCGAACGGGGUAGGAAUACCUCGGUGACGUACCCCCGGGUCGGGGAUAGCGGCGGGAAACUGCCGGUAAUACCCGAUACUCUGCCUUGAUUUGAACUUGGGGCAGCAAAGGUGUGAUUCCGUCUGGGGAGCGGCCGAGGCCGUAUUAGCUUGUUGGUAAGGUAACGGCUUACCAAGGCGAUGAUGCGUAGGGGGUGUGAGAGCAUGGCCCCCACCACUGGCACUGAGACACUGGCCAGACACCUACGGGUGGCUGCAGUCGAGAAUCUUCGGCAAUGGGCGCAAGCCUGACCGAGCGACGCCGCGUGCGGGAUGAAGGUCUUCGGAUUGUAAACCGCUGUCGGAGGGGAUGAAAUGCGUCGGGGUACUCCCCGGCGUUUGACAGAGCCUCGGAGGAAACCCCGGCUAACUCCGUGCCAGCAGCCGCGGUAAUACGGGGGGGGUAAGCGUUGUUCGGAAUUACUGGGCGUAAAGGGCUCGUAGGCGGCACUAAGUCAGACGUGAAAUCUCAAGCUUAACUGGGAAACUGCGUCUGAUACUGGAUGRCUUGARUKMGGKARRGGKRUGYRGAACUUCCAGGUGKAGCGGUGAAAUGYGUAGAUAUYKGRAGGAAYMCCGGUGGCGAARGCGRCAYMCUGGRCCKWSWYUGACGCUGAGGMRCGAAAGCYAGGGGAGYRAACGGGAUUAGAUACCCCGGUARUCCURGCCSUAAACRMUGAAYRCUKGAGKGKGGYGGGUAUCGAUCCCUGCUGUGCCGAAGCUAACGCAUUAAGCAUUCCGCCUGGGGAGUACGGUCGCAAGGCUGAACUCAAAGGAAUUGACGGGGGCCCGCACAAGCGGUGGAGCAUGUGGUUCAAUUCGACGCAACGCGAAGAACCUUACCCAGGCUUGAACUGCGAGUGACCACGCCCGAAAGGGAGCUUCCGCAAGGACACUCGUAGAGGUGCUUGCAUGGCUGUCGUCAAGCUCGUGUCGUGAGAUGUUGGGUUAAGUCCCGCAACGAGCGCAACCCUUGUCCUCUGUUGCCAUCACGUUAUGGUGGGCACUCUGAGGAGACUGCCGGUGAUAAACCGGAGGAAGGUGGGGAUGACGUCAAGUCAGCAUGGCCUUUAUGUCUGGGGCUACACACGUGCUACAAUGGCCGGUACAAAGCGUUGCAAACCCGCGAGGGGGAGCUAAUCGCAGAAAGCCGGUCUCAGUUCGGAUUGUAGGCUGCAACUCGCCUGCAUGAAGUCGGAAUCGCUAGUAAUCGCGGAUCAGCAUGCCACGGUGAAUACGUUCCCGGGCCUUGUACACACCGCCCGUCACGUCACGAAAGCCGGCUGCACUAGAAGUCGCCGAGCUAACCCGCAAGGGAAGCAGGCGCUUAAGGUAUGGUCGGUGAUUGGGGUGAAGUCGUAACAAGGUACCGUA
rnacentral:rRNA from 1 species